rnacentral:lncRNA from 1 species
AAUCAAACUUCUAAGUUUGAUGGAAAUUUCAUAAGUACUCUCGUGGGUUCUAAUUAUACGGAUAUAGAAAAUUCGGGGUGUUCAAUCUGACCAUGUUUUGUUCGUAUAUUGCCACCGAUCAGCUGUACUCUUAAAGGAAGUGUUGUCAAAACCUAAAGCACAUUACCUUUUUUGCUUGCAUGGGGCUUGUUUUUUAAAUGCGUGUUUCACAGGAUAGGAGUAGAUUUGUAGCAGGGGCACCUUUUCUUCAUGGGAUUUCUAUUUUGAUGGCUCUCAUUGUUUAGUCCUCAGUUUUGCCCAUGCUCGUUUGCAGUCCUCACUUUUCCCCUCUAUCGCGUGGUCCAUCCUGGCACCUUUUCUUCAUGGGAUUUCUAUUUUGAUGGCUCUCAUUGUUUAGUCCUCAGUUUUGCCCAUGCUCCUUUGCAGUCCUCACUUUUCCCCUCUAUCGCGUGGUGCAUCCUUACAAAAGCUCGAACGGGGGUUUGUCGUCUUGUCAAAGUCUUUGACCGUUACUUGUGCACUGAUGCGUGAUCGUAGGUAGGCUCUGAGCAUAUUACUUGCAUGGGGCUUGUUUUUUAAAUGCGUGUUUCACAGGAUAGGAGUAGAUUUGUAGCAGGGGCACCUUUUCUUCAUGGGAUUUCUAUUUUGAUGGCUCUCAUUGUUUAGUCCUCAGUUUUGCCCAUGCUCGUUUGCAGUCCUCACUUUUCCCCUCUAUCGCGUGGUCCAUCCUGGCACCUUUUCUUCAUGGGAUUUCUAUUUUGAUGGCUCUCAUUGUUUAGUCCUCAGUUU